ensembl:lncRNA
ACGCUCACGCACCCAGACCCUGAUUACAGGCGGGUGGACAACACCCCUGGAGCCACAGAGCUCGGUUUCCCCCCCAGCGGCAGGAGCAACUCUCAGCAGCCAGGCAGCGGGGCGGCACGGCCAAAGGCCGCAGUCGGGAUCCCAGCCCCGAUUCCAGGGAGGGCGCAAGCCCCACCCCGCAUCUCACGGCCCCGCGCCUCUGAAAGGCCGGGGCCACAUUCCCACCUGAGUACAGGGGGUCUCUCAGAACGCAGCUCACCAAGCACACACGGGGGGCACACACAGCCCUGCCUACAGGACGGUACCCCCACACCUCACCCUCUUCAAGAAGCCCCGCGGAGCACGAGGCUCCCGCCAACGCCUGAGUUACAGGCUGGCCCGCCCGGCAGCACCAGAACAUCACCAACGUCUCGUCUUUGGAAGCCCAGGGAGCUACCUCGACCCACCGAGCGGGGAGGUCACCCCACACACAAACAGCACCUCAACCUGCACCCUCUGACGGGACAGGGAGGGGUCACUCCCACCAGCUGGAUGGCUAAAGCAGCCGGCUGCAACGCUGCAGCCUCCCCACACCUGAUUACAGGGCGGGCGGGCUGCUCAGGGACAGAGGGCUCCGAAGCUUGGGACACACACCCCGAGUACGGGGCUGUCACCGCCGCCAGCAGGACAGGCGGCCACGCAAGGACAGGCCCAAGCCCUGGCUACAGGGAGGCCUUGGCCACAGAACUACCGUGUGGCUCUGAUCUGCACUAAGGAAAAUAGUAGGAAGACAGGACACUCGCUGCGCUCGCAGGACUAAGAGGGAACACCCCUUUUGCGGCAUGCACCAAAUCCUCCAUUCCCCCCUGGGAAGUCAAAGCUAAGCUGCAGCCAUCUUUGUGGAGGCCUAAAGGGAAAGCACAGCCGCUCAACCACUCCACAAACACAAACAAGGAAAGGAAGGGGAACACGCACACACAGGCACGACUUUCCAGAAGGGAAGGACAACGCAGCACAGCCAACACCUGGGAAUAAACCCACAACCACGGGCAACAGACAAGAGCCUGUGACCUGUCCCUAGGCUGCACGGAGGCCACAGACCUCAACGUGCCAAGGGGCUUCUCAGUAAAGCCAACGGCCAAAUGCCGUGACGCACACCCCGAGUACGGGGCCGUCGCAUUGACAAGCCACCAUCAGGCAACGAUGCCGAGGGGCCGGGGGAGGAAGAGGGGCAGGGAAACGGCACUACCCUGCUUACAGGGUGGCCUUGGGGUCCGGCGAGCUCCAUUUCCCACUCAGGUGCGGAGAGGUGGCUCUCGCCCUCCGUUACAGGGGGCCACGCUCCCCAGGCAGCCCAAGGAGCAGCAAGGCAAAAGGCCAACUACAGCAAAGACCCGAGCCCCGCUUACGGGGAGGUCGCCCAGCACAACGCCAGCCUGGUCACCAAAGGCGCCG